CUGAUCAUAACCAUUCAAGUUAAUGUGUCCAUUUCCACCGGCUUCUUUCCGUUUUGCUGCGGAUCACCGGACUCCACAGCUGAUUGCACGAGUUCUAUUUUUUCCAGAUGCCGGAGCAUGCCGGAUAAAUUCAGCACAGAGUAACCUGUGCUGAAAAGGAAGUCGGGCACAGACACGAAAUAAAACAUCCGGCUUCUUUUCAAAAUAAAACACUCUCUGUUUCAGAUGGAUUGUAUUUUACACCAUGCAAACGGGCGAGGAAAAACAAGUGAAAGGUCUAUAGACAGUAUUUCAUCCCAAUGACACCAUGGAUGAGAGGGUGCUGAUUUUAUAAGUCGAGAAGUGGAUUUCCUCCUCUGGAAGGACACAAUCUACUGCUUAUAUGGUUAUGUGGCUAAAGACAGCUUGUUAUUGCGCAAUUGCACGAUUCCUGCUGUCUAUAAUCCACCACGAAAUUUGCCUCACAAAUGGAUCUGGUAGGAAUUGGCGUAUGGCGAAAAUCGCCACCGUUAACAUUUCAUUGCACGAUAUGUGUAGAAGACUUCAGUUCACCCUCUCGCCACCUGCGCCGCCAAUCCCUCUGCCUCCGAACUGUGCACAAUCAUGGACCCGAGUUUGCCUACCUUUGUGCAUAUUUCCCGAUCAAGUCAAACAACUUUCUGACUCUGUCUUCAAUACACAAUGCUUAUUAAUUAGACCCUUAAGAAAUAAAGAAAGUACAGGAGUUUCAAUAUCAUGCCUGGAGCUGGCACUAUGAGAGAAGCAUUGACUGCUUGUCACUCCUUCAAGUACUAACCAGUCCAUAUUGUUCUGCUAACCUGUAUAAUGUUUGGUGUCCUUAGCUUGGUGCUCACGUGACAGUAAGUUCACUCUUUUUAUCAAAACAAGUACAACAAACCUGUUUUACAAAUUAGUUCAAGGGUAUCCCUUCAAGGCGCUAACUGUGAUAAUUCAGUAGAAAACGGGAUGAAAUUAGGUUAGAACGUCCAUGACUUAAUUUGGAGCAGUUUUUCAACCGUCUAUUUUGCAGAAACACACCCUGCAAAGAGUUGAAAAGUCCUCCUUUAGCUUGUUAUUAUAAUGCUGAAUGUGCACCAAGACUCUUCAAAAGUGAAAACUCUACUUGUGCUCAUUAUAUGGAAUUUUUCCAUUUUUGACUCUGUUGUAUAGACUUAACGUUUAUCCCUGCACCCAUCCUUUUAAAUGUUCCCACACUGGUUAUGGUCGAAUUCUUUUCCAUUUCACUGAUUCCUCUUCUCAGUUGCUUUCUCACCAUUUCCACUGUUGUUCCUGCUUCCCCUCUCUCUCUCUCUCUCUUACACACUCUCUCUCUCUCUCUCUCCCCUGAUAUAUUUAAACCAUCCCUCUGGGGAGAACAGAAGCCCGCCUCAAUCUGGAACCAAUUGUUUUGUUCGGUUCACGAAUCCAGAACCAAACCCUGACAAAAGAACUCUUGUAAGGGCCGCUGUGUUAUUUGUUUUUGCCCGAGUUACAGAUUGUGCUGUUAUCAGAGUAUUUAUUGUGCAGUUGUGGAUGCGGAGAGAGAGGGCCCUGAAGCUUCGCACCACAUCAAAGCUGUCACAAAAAAUGAAACAGGGGCCAAAUGGCAAGAAAUGCUGUGGGCACAAAAUAUACGAGCCCGAACUGCCGCUGAUAAGAAGCCAUUUUUAAAGACUCUCUCAUGGUUGUAAUGAUUGUGCUCAGCAAGUUUAGAUGACUGGUUAACAUCCUUGCACUUCUACGACUUCAGAGGGACUGAGUUUAGUUCCAUUUAUAUUUACAAAGGGAAAACUAAUUGGAAAGAGGUUCGGUAAUGCAAGACAACGAUAAGCUUCUGAUUAAUAAGCCGAACUUGGAUUUGUUCCUCAGUCAAACUUACUGAAUAGUAAAAAUAAACUCAGGCUUUGCUCUGCUUCAGUACCCAUCAGAGAGAAGCCUUUCGCAGUGGCACAUGUGAGAUCAGGGAAUUACAGACGCGAGCAGACUGCAGGAAGUCUAUCCCCUGGAGUUCAUCUGGGACAGGACCUCUGGCUGUGUGUGGAGGUGUGUGUACGUGUGUGUGUGCGUCUGUGACAGCCUGAGCCACUCAGCUGGAAGCCUGUCAGCAUAUGCCAACAAGCUGAGUAAUGCUGCAGAGAGUUAGCUUAGAGGGAGAAGCCACCUGACCCCGAUAGGUCACCUAAUGACCUUUGCUUUAGACCAUGAGCUGCAGAAAAAGGGGCCAAAACUAAUGUCUGCCAAGUGUUAAAUGUCAAAUCAGUCAAUAUGGGUCACACUGCCAAUUUUUUUUUUUUGCACAAUAGAAUUUUAGGGUUUUGUUGCUUUGUCCCUGUAGGCCACCAUAGGCACCACUCAACCAAAACAAAUGCUUAAUUAUGUUCAUUUUGCUGAUAUAAGCUAAAAACAAGCUAAAGCUACUAGGUGUUUUGAUGACUCCUCGGCUCCUUGACCUCUCACAAGUCGUCCUGCACAGUCACAUGCAGCGACAGGAGACAGGAGGGCUCAGGUCUGGACCGAAGCACAGGAGGAUCUCUGACUGCUCUUAAACCCAUUAAGGCCACCUGGGUGUGUAGCCAUGCGUGGCUUGAAAGCUGGCCAGGGAGGUGUGUGAGCUUGUGCGUAUUUGUAUUUGUGUGUGUGUGUGUGCACGGGACGAGAAGGUGGCCAGGAGGAGCAGGCUGUUCGGCAAAGAUUAGCAGGCUCUCACAUGUUGCAUAACAGAUUCCCCGUCUCGUGAAAAACCUGCCCGCAUGAUGCCGCCCGCUAAGCAGAAUGGCCUUUCACUAACGCCCUCUACACUUGCGCGCAGACUCUCGUGCGUGAACACUUUGCGAAACUGUAUUGUUUAGCCUCAUUAGCAAGAUGCUCCUGCUUUUCUUUGCAUCAUUUGCACGGCUUUUCCUUCGAUCGAUGGUGUGUGAGAGGAAAAAGUAACCAGACUGGCCUCCUAACUCACACAGGUUGAGUCAAAGCCUUGACAAAUGUCAUUAUCCAGACCAGCCUGGGGGUGAUUAUGUAGUGUGCCGCUUAUGGCGCUGUGUUUAGCAUGGGCCUGCUGUAUCCAUCCAGGCCAACUGCUGUGUGUGUGUCUGUGCAUAUGGGCCUGGGCUUGCUCAGGGGCUGUGAUCCGAUGGGUCCUAUAACACCAAAUCAAACACAGAGGGAGACGCAGCCUGCCUAUUUUUCUGUCUUAGCGUGUGUGUAUGUGUGUGUGUGUGAGUCUGUGUUUGUGAGCAAGGGGGGGUUAAGUAAUAAACAAGGUCUCCAUGGUGACAACAGAUGCAGCUGCAGCAAAGAAUGAAGUUGAGUGUCAGCAGUAAGGAGCCACUGUGUGCAUGUUUGUGUGUGCAUGUGUGUGUGUUUGAGGGGAAAAAACACCAGCAGUAGGGGCCCAGUGAGGAUCGUAAACACCAGCAGGCCAUGACUUCCACAAAUAGACCUCAGAGGAAAAAUGGGAGCAGGAGAAAAGGGGGGAGCGGGAUGAUUUCACACAAAAAGACAGAAAUGUAGCACAAGAACACUGGGAACAUUACAAGUUGAAAAUCCUACAAUCGUGAUUUUGAACUCGCUUAUAUGAAAGAAAAUGCAAAGACAAGCUAACAGCUUAAAGGAGCGCAUGUUUAUUCAUCCUGAGCUCUGGCAUCCACGCUUCAAAUGUCAAGUUCCUCCACAGAAGCCUGCAUCCAUCCUCCCCCAUCGCUAAAGCGCCAACCAUCUAUUCAUCAGUCUUCAUCAUCUUUCAUCAUUAUAUGGUAAUCCUCCUCACUCACUCUGGGUCCGUCUUGACAGCCCCCUGCAGUGUCUCUUUCUAGUCCUGUUGUGUGCUGAGUGUGCCAUCUUGAUUCACACAUCCUGUCAGUGGUUUAUAAUCCCUCCUUUAUUUAAAGAAGAAUAGCGCGCCGCUGUCUCUCUCCAACGCCUAACUUCAAGGCCAGAAAGCGGGCGUAGCAGCCUCACCAAGCGCUGUCAUUGUUGGAGCACCUCUGCUUCACAGCCAACCUCUCGCCCCAGCGUGACCCCCUCUGCCCCUCCCCUCUUUGCGUAGGCUAUUUUCCAAUAUUAUUUAUGCACGGACUCUUUUUAGUCCUCUCUAAGCUGGCUUUUUCAAGGCUUUUCACUGAAAGGCUAAAAACAUACAAAUCCUCGCUCAAAACCCUCCGAAAAACCAUAUGGAGCACUAUACCUUAAUCAGAGCAGUCCCUGUUUGUGUGUGAGUGUUUAUAAGUGUGUGUGUGUGUGCUCACUAAUAUUAGAAUAAUCCCUGGUGAUUAUGGGAGUGGUUAUUAGGAUGAAUAUGGCAGCGGGGUUGCGUUGGGCCGAGCUGAGCUGAGCCCGGCCUGUUGUGAGAAACAGAUGUCGGUUGACCCACAUCUGCCGAGCAUGCUGGGACGUUGGAGUGUCAGGUCAGAGCUCUGCCACCUCGGGGACAGUGUACAUCUGGACCCCUGAAAGAUUGUCGCCUUUUUCACUCUUGCUUCAUGUUGUCCCUUGAAAGCCAUCUCUCUCUGAGGCUGCUGUGUCUCCCUCUACCUGUCCCUCUGUUGAAACCUUGAACACACUCCGUUUUAAUACAAAUAUUUCUGGCAAAAAGAACGAAUUUUUGACUCUGAUCUGGAGAUCAAAGGUUUUUGGUCAAUCUGUACACUUGGAUUGUGACCCAGACUGGUAAAGUCAGGGGACGUGUGAGUAUAAACACUCAUUGAUGCAGCACUGUGUUUGAGAGGGAAAUGGUUGAAAUCCUGUUAAGAAAUACUUUCACAUACAUACUGUGUGUAAAAGUGGCAUUUUUAUCAUGAUCUUUGACAUCACUGACUCCAUCUUUAUGUCUAGCCAAGGCUUAGAAGUGUGUUACGCUUAUACCUGGUUGUUAUUAACUUUUCAUUUCCUGUUUAACUUUGUCACUUCUGUCUCUUUUCACUCAUGUUUAGCUUAUCCACCUUUCCUUCACUGUUUUCACAUAUGUCCGAUUAGUCUCACCUGUCCCUCAUAGGCUGCAGUGUUUAUCUUUGUACCCCACUUACUUUUUUGACCCUUCUUUCUCCCACUGUUGUUAUUCAGCUUCAGCUUCAUGACAAACAGAGAAAUCUUAAAAACAAAUGGUCAACAUCUCCCUAAUUUUCCUCUCUGAUGAGUAAUACACGCAGGACUUGCGGUAUGAUGUGCAAACUGAGGCGGCUUCGGACUUGAGUUUUUAGGUGGCACGACUGAUUUUGAAGUCAGGCGUCGAUUCAGCUGAUCACGCAACAUUUGUAGUGCAGUUUACAGUGAAAGCAGGGUCAUGAGCCAAUUCUCCAAGUUCAGGGUUUUUUCGUUCCAUCUAAGUGUCUGUAUAUCUGAAAGCACCAUGGCAACGUUCAACAUAACAUGAGCACAUAAUUUGUGAGCCUCAGUUGUGCAUUGCAAACUCAUGCGGUCUAAAUUCAUUUUCCACCACAACAUUAAUACAAUUGUACAGUGUAUGCCUGACCGUAACACUCAAUUUCUCUUAGUUUUUGCGUUUUGUGUGGAACUGCUUGCUCAAUCUGGACUUUUAAAACCAUCAAUAAUCUUUCAGUGUUUUCUUUUUUCCCCUGUUUCCAUUUGAACUGUCAGUUUUCCACAUGUGUCAUUUCAUAUUUCUCUGAAUAUCGUUUUUUUUUUUUUUUUUUUUGUAGGUAUUUUUCCUCCCAGAUAUUAGACAAGAUUAGGAACCAUAGCUUUUGCACCCUAAAAAGUCUAGUGAGACAUUGCACAGGACUUUUUUUAAGUUAAUGAUUUUUAUCCAGACUUAAACUACAUGUUUUGUUCUCAGUCUACUAACAUUUUAAUUUUGGUGGCAGCUGAAGUUGAGAAGGUUAGUUUUGUAUGACAUAACUUUACUGCAAGAUUGUGGAAAAGAGACUCGGCUUGCAGGAUAAAUACAAUGCAAACUCACCCCUGAGGAUUCUGCAGUGGCCUCCACUGACAAGAGGAAGGAGAGCAGCACAGAUUUCCUCAUGUCCAAACCAAACAUUGUGGCUUUCAGUUAUGGUUGCAUUUACUUGAAAUGACGCGGUAGACCAACACUGAGAAUCAGCGAGCGCUAAUUGAAAACAGCCUGCUGGAGCUUCAGUGAAUCCUGACUGUGGGACUGAGUCCUUUUUUUUUUUUAUUGUGCUCCAGUGAGCUGAUUCUCUGGUCAUUCCUCCGUGUUCCCCAGAGGCCUGAGGGGUUAUGGUCUUAGAUAGCUAGCGGUUGACUCAUACAAGCCUCUUUGGCUGUCAGAUAAGAAGUUCACAUAAUGUCUUAUUGCCUACUAAGGACAGGGACAUCAAAUAUUUCAAUUCCCAAUAGAAAGCUGCAUGGUGACGCCCAGUUUGAAAAGUGAAGCUGUAUUUUUCACUGCCGAUGGUGCAAACUUUUGAGGUUACAUAAUCACCUGUUGGUCCACUUGUCCUUAGAUUAAUUUAAAAUACAUUUCUGCAUUUCUUACAUAAAUAACCAGAUUGCACACAACCUACUCACAUGCUUUUUCUUCUUUCUUCUGCUCCUCUCAGUUCUCACCGUUUAAUUUCUCUCUCCCACCCUUGUCCUUUCUCUCUCCUUUUUUUUUUCUCUGCAGAAUUGAGGCCUGUCCGUGUCAUCCCAUAGGGCAGAGCUGUUUGAGUGACGGCUGGGUGCAGCGUCUUGACACAGGUCCGUGCCCCCGUCAUCAUCGCUGAUCGUCCCAUGCUGGCCCUUGGAGUGACAAGCGCCUGCAGAGCCAUUUACUCCUGAUGUGGGCAGAAAAAAAGCUCUCCUUGAUCACAGGCUUUCACAGGCAUUUUAGACACCACUCUUUAUUUCUCUGUUAUAACUUAUUCUCUCUUUAGUCGCCUAAUUAACAUCCUAUUUUUCUUCACGUUUAAAAUGCUAGUUUUUAUUUUAUCCCUCUCUACCUUUCUGCUCCUCUUCUUGACCUUAUACAAUCCUUCUCUCCCUCCUUUGAUAUCUCCUCUCUUAUAUUGAGCUCCUGUCACUGCUAAUCUAAAGGAAUCUGCCAGAUCUUAAUUAGGGUAACUACUAUGUUGAUUUAAGUUAACACUGACGACUCCACUCGAGGUACUAUCUUUGAGCAGGCUGUAACAGAUGGGUUGCCUGGUUCUUUUUUGGAAAAACAGACGGGAGUCAUGAUCGAGCUGUAUGAUUUUUAAACUUGAUGUUAUUUGUAGCUUCCUUUCACUUUGCAGAACUGUUCAGUCAGGACUUUUCUUUCCAAACCUUUCCACAAAGACUGUAAAGCCUCUCGAAGUGAUAGUAGAAAGCUAAAAGUGAAAUCGAAAUUUGUUUUGCACUAGUUCGUGACCAAAACAAAGUGUCAUAUUUGUUUUGAUGGAUGUAGCGUGACUGUGAACAAGCCCCCUUGGCUAAAAAAGCUUUACUUACUGCCCUCAGACUUACCAUGGACCAUAGCCUGGAGCGGGUCAGCAGUGUCUCAGUGUUUUGGAGUUAUUUGAACAUUUGUCAGUAAUGGAUCACAUUUUUCUGGUUUCGGUUGCAUUUGUCUUUGAAAUUCUUGUUCAAAAGAUUAUUUAUGAAGCUAAACAGAUUUUUGAAGGCCGGAACAAUGUGGUUAUUGGCAGAGGAAAACAGUGUACCAAAAAGUGCUGGAUGUUUGGCUUGAAGGUUUAAGUCAGAUAAUUUGGAAUCAAAGAGCAGCUAUAACAGAAAAAUGGGAAACAGAAGGUAACUUUGUGAAGUUGGAAUGCAUGUUUUAGUUUUCUAUUUAAUAAAAUAUCACCUGACCUUUCACUUUAAUCGUAUAGCCUGUUUUGAGGCUCCAUUUAUUUAACAAACAUGCUGUCUAACAUAACCUCAACAAUCAAACUGGAUGAGUCAUUAAAAAACUUUCCCAGCACAGUUUUUUUAGAGUGAAGAAAUGAGGAAUGAAGUCCAAAGCCUUUAUUUUACCAGGCUGUAAACAUGUUUAAUUCUACUGUAAAAACUGAGAUUUUGAUUUGAACUCUAACACAGUUUCCUUGCUUUUACUUUCAGCCUCAAGUGGACUACAGGGGAACUGCAGUUUUUCCACAUUGGCUAAAUUUCACAUGACAGAGGGUUGUCGUUUAGGGCCAACUUGUGUUUAGCUGCCUAUGAGCCAGAUUAUAAAGGCCUGCAGUGACUCCCCUAGAAUUUGGAAACUCCCAGGCCAGAACAACAGGGAAUAUCCGGAUAUUUGCUUCUUAACCCUUUUUUUACUCCCUCGUUUAUGGAUACCACAGGUCAACCCACAACAUGGCCCCUCAACCUGAAACAGGUUGUUUCACGCACUGUAAUAUGACAGCAUUGUUAUGACCAACAUACUUUAUGUUUGUGUGUGUGAGAGAGAGAGAGCAUAGAAGGACAGGAGGGCAUCAGAUGAGUACAGACUGUUUCCACCUGCCAGGUGCCUGGUCUCUAAUCCCCCCUCUCUGUCUGAUUAAACACACACACAAACACACACAUAGACGCACAAACAGGCGCAACAAGGUCAUCUCUCUGUCAACCAUACAAUAGCCCUGUGUACCCAUCUGGCCUACAUCCUAAAUACUUCCUCUUUAGAAAGCAAAUAAAGAAAGGAGAAGAGAACCAACACUUGGUACCUUCAAACAGGUCAUGAUGACCGAAAUAGUGAUCUGGAGAUGAAUUUGGGUUUGGGUUUUUCACAGAUUUAUGGAGCCAUGUCUUCUAUGUACAGAGCUGUCUUCUUUCUUUCUUUCUUUCUUUCUUUCUUUCUUUCUUUCUUUCUUUCUUUCUUUCUUUCUUUCUCUCUUUUGUACUGGAGAAGCUCCUCCUGUGGCGACUAACAUCAUUCUGAUAAUAUUUUUUAUUGGGAGUAGAGACCUUUGAUAUUUUGAGGAUAAGAAGGCUUUUGUAGAGACAGUAACACCAUUCCACCUCCUCCUCCUCCUCCUCCUUCUCUUCCUCCUCCUCUGCUUUUCUCCUUUUCGAGGAGGUUUGGCUUCCUCUGCCCCCUGCCUCUAAUGUUUUCUGUGUCUGAUGAGAUUCUGUGCUCAAAGAGGUGAAGAAGAGGUCAAACAACUUCAAACAGUGUUGUGAGGAUCGUUGCUCUGAAAAUGAAUAAAGAUUAAUUUUACAGUGUUGGUGUACACUUGACUGAAUGGUUAAAUAUUGUGUUUUUGUCUUUGAGGAUUGUGCUGCUUUCACACAAGCAGAAAAGCCUCCUACUCUGUAUUACAGUAGAAUGUCUUUAAAUACCAGGUGCACUUGCAUAUACAUCAUUUACUGUUAUUGCAGCAGAGAGAAAUUCUAUACAUUUACUAUAAACCCAGUGCAUGUGUGGUUUGAUCCACAUUAUGAUAGUGCAGGAAUUCCACUAGGUGCCAUGCUGUCUGCGGUGUCUCCCCUCCUCACCUGUUGAAGCUGUGAUUAGAUACUGUCAACCCUCAGGCCAUAGCUAUCACAUACAGGUAAAGCACUGUGAGGCUUUAGCUUUCCCUUUUUUUUACAGAGAUGGGGAGAAGACUGGUGAACUCCAGAAACUGCAGACGGUGCUGAAAGUUUGUGUCACACUAAUGAGCAAUCUGUCAACAAGUGUGCGCUGCAAGGAUCUUUGAGAAUCUUUGAAAAAAUGUAGAUUAUAUGGCGGAAGGCCUUGUAUGACUACCCCUGCUGAACAGACAAGCACACACACACACACACACACACACACACACACACACACACACACACACACACACAC